UUCGCAAUGCCCGAAAGGGUGACGAAGCGACGCCGCGUGUGGGAAGAAGGCCUUCGGGUUGUAAACCACUGUCGGGAGUUAGGAAGUGUAGGGGUGUUAAUAGCGCCUCUACUUGACUAAGGCUCCGGAGGAAGCCACGGCUAACUCUGUGCCAGCAGCCGCGGUAAUACAGAGGUGGCAAGCGUUGUUCGGUAUUAUUGGGCGUAAAGAGCACGUAGGUGGUUUUGUAAGUCAGAUGCGAAAGCCUUCUGUUCAAAGGAAGAACGGCAUCUGAAACUGCAAAUCUUGAGUGUAGGAGGGGAGAGUGGAACUCCUGGUGGAGCGGUGAAAUGCGUAGAUAUCAGAAGGAACGUCGGCGGCGAAAGCGACUCUCUGGCCUAUUACUGACACUGAGUGUGCGAAAGUUAGGGGAGCAACCGGGAUUAGAUACCCCGGUAGUCCUAACUGUAAACGAUGGGCACUAAGUAGAGGGGUUUU
rnacentral:rRNA from 1 species